AUUCUGAAGCAGAAAGUAUAAGCAAAAAUUUGUAAACUGUUUCGUUAAUUUAACCGUUGUAUUGUUUUCGUAUUUGUAAUGUAAGCACGGUCCGCGGUCGGGCGAAAUUCGUGGGCAAAAAUACAAGAAAUUAAUCAAGUGCGGUAACUAAUUAAUUGCACCGAGGCGAUUUGCAUAAAAUAUAAACAAUUUUAGUGAGACAGAUUGACUAGUGUGUUAGUGGGUGCGCGUAUUUCAUCGAGUGGUGAAAAGAAAUGUUUAAAACGCAUAUAAAUAAAUUUAACUGCGAUUCUUGUUUCUGUGAAAGGAUACAAUAACUGAGAGAGGGGAGAUACAAACGAAUAUUAUUUACCUCCUGGUGGGAAAUGACAUAAACACGUGAUAUUUUCUGUGGAAUGAUUUAUAGCAAUUUUGAAUGUGGAUAAUGCAUCUGUGACUUCCACUCUCGGCAAUAAUGCUGCAUCAUCCCCAAAUCUAGCAAAAUGAAGUGAAAAAGACCUGAAAAAUUGAAACAAAUUAAAAGCAACUCAAAA